AUUGAACGCUGGCGGCAGGCCUAACACAUGCAAGUCGAGCGGAGCGGCGGACGGGCGAGUAAUGCCUAGGAAUCUGCCUGGUAGUGGGGGAUAACGUCCGGAAACGGGCGCUAAUACCGCAUACUAUCAGAUGAGCCUAGGUCGGAUUAGCUAGUUGGUGGGGUAAAGGCCUACCAAGGCGACGAUCCGUAGCUGGUCUGAGAGGAUGAUCAGCCACACUGGAACUGAGACACGGUCCAGACUCCUACGGGAGGCAGCAGUGGGGAAUCUUCGGCAAUGGACGAAAGUCUGAUCGAGCAACGCCGCGUGAAUGAAGAAGGUUGUCGGAUCGUAAAACUCUGUUAUUAGAGAAGCGGUAUCUAACCAGAAAGCCCCGGCUAACUACGUGCCAGCAGCCGCGGUAAUAC
rnacentral:rRNA from 1 species